AGACUUCUCGAGGCAGGGAGCCCGAUGCAGGGCUCGAUCCCAGGACCCUGGGGCCAUGACCUGAGCCAAAGGCAGACGCUUAACCAUCUGAGCCACCCAGGUGCCACAGACAUCUGAAUUUUUAUGCAAAUAUUCCAAUCACUAAGUGUCAGCAAAAAUUCAAAUUUUUAGACCUAGAGUGGACCAAGCAAAAUAUGUCUAUAGGACCAAAGGGACAAAGGGAGAAAAUAGAUACUAGAACACAGAGUGCUGUGUAGAGAAACUUGCUGUGAGAGGAGCUGAGACCUUCCUUCCAGACACACAGCCAGGCUGAGCCAACCUUAUAGUGAGAGGCUGGGAGAACAGAGAUCAGGCCCUCCCUCUCCUUCCUGUGGUCCCCUGCAAGAGACCAAAGCCAACUGGAACCCAGAGAACUAAGGAGACUUGAUGUAGCCUGGGCAGAGGGUAGAAUGAAGGAGGAGAGUGGAUCUGGAAGGUCACUGGCAAAGCAGGCUUACAGGGUGGACCACACAGUGAUUCAAGUUCCACACAUGACUUAAUGCUCACCUCGGUAAGUAGUCACCAUACAACAUUAUUACGAUAUCAUUGACUAUAUGCCUAUGCUGUGCUUUUCCUCUUCAUGACUUAUUUAUUUUAUAAUUGGAAGUUUGUAGCUCUUAAUCCCCUUCACCUAUUUUACCCAUUCCCCAUCCUCAUGUCUGGCAACCACCAGUUUGUUCUCUGUAUUUAUUUUUAAAGAUUGAGUUAUUUUAGAGAGAGUGCAUUGUGCAAGUGGGGGAGGAGGCAGAGGGAGAGGGAAAGAAUCUCAAGCAGACUCCCUGCUGAGCGCAGAGCCCAUGGGGCUCAAUCGCACAGCCCUGAGAUCAUGACCCUAAGAUCAUGACCUGAGCCAAAAUCAAGAAUCAGAUGCUCAACCGACUGAGCCACCCAGGUACCCAGUGUUCUCUGUAUUUAAGAAUCUGUUUGUUUUGGGGGAAAAAAAAAAAGAAUGUUUGUUUUGUUUUUAGAUUCCACAUAUCAAUGAAAUCACAUGGUAUCUGUCUUUUCUCCUGCCUCUCCUACUUCCAAGGCUCCUUUGCUGUAUCCUUUUCAUCUCUGCAGCCCCUGAAUGUUGGCUACCUGAAGGCGUCGUCCUUGGAUUCCUUCCCUACAAUCAUUUCCUUAGUGAUUCCAGAUGCAUAAACAUGUCUGCCUGUAUGAUCUCUCCCCUUAGUUGUCUUAGUUUGGGUUCUGCCUGAAGCAGAGCCUGAGGCAGGGAUUCAGGUGGACGAAGGAGGUAACCUGGGAAAUAUAGGUAGAAGAAUGAGGAACGGAGAUGGGAGAAGAUGGCCAGGAAAUGGUGUGUUACCAAGCAAGUACCAGUCAGCCCUGCUAAGAGUUACUGUGCCUAAAUAUCACGAGAAGAACUGGGGUAUUUAUAUAUCAACCACUGCCAGUAAUUGGUGUCGGCUGCUCUGGGGGAUAUAAACUCCCAUCUAUUUCUGGCCUCCCAUACAUUCGGGAAGAGCAGGCUCAAGCAGCUAGAGAGAGCCCAGAGGCUAGGAGAUGGUGAGACUGGCACGUGGAGGCCAGGCUCGCAUGCACUGACGUGGUAAGGUGCUAGGAGACGUGAUGUGUGUGGGGGGGAGACACCCACAGCACCUGCCAUAUAUGUGUAAUAGAUGUGUAACAAGCAUGUACGACAGAACAUGUUCAAUAUUGUGCUCCUGAUCUCCCCCCACCCCAAACCUGCCCCUCCUACGGUCUUCCUGAUGUCAGCAAAUGGACACUCUAGUCUUAUGCUUGUCUAGACCACAAAUCUUUGAAUAUCUGAGUCCUCUUUUACAUCCCACUUUGAAUUCGUCAGCAGAUCCUGUUAUCUCUACCUUCUAGACACAGCCAGAAUCCAGCCACUUCUCAGCACCCCACUGCCGCCUUCCUGCUCCAAGCCACCGUUCUCUCUUGCCUGGAUAAUUGCAAUAGGCUCCUCACUGAUCUCUCUCUUUCUGCCUUUGACCCCUUCAGUCUAUUUUCAACAGAGCUGCCGGGGUGAUCCUAUUAAAGCAUAAGCCAGAUCAUGUCACUUCUCUGCUCCCUCAGAGGGCUCUGGUUUCACUCAGAGGAAAAGCCAGAGUCCUUCCUAUGACAUAAUGACCCCACAUGAUCUGGUCACCGCUGUCCCCUGGCCUCAGCCCCCUGACCAUUCCUGGAGUACCACAGGCACCCUCCCUCCUUAGGCUUGCUGUCCCCUCUGUCUGACCACUCUCCCCUACAUUGGUGGCCAGAGAACGUAUUUCUUUCAGGUCAGUAAUCGCCCCCUCAGUAAGGCUGUCCUGGCCAACUUAUCUAAAAUGUGGCCCUCACUGUUCCCUAUGCCCCCCUUGAUUUCCUUCUUAUCACUUAUCACUAUGUAACAGAGUGAAUACUUUCCUGACUUGUUUUUGUCUGUCUCUCCCCACUAGAAUAAGCGCCAUAGGACAGAGAUUGUUGUCUGUUUUGUUCAUUGCUGUAUCCCCAGUCCUUAGAAGAGUAUCUGUUACAUACACAGUAGGUGCUCAACAAAUCUUUGUUGAAUGAAUGUUCUCACCAGCCCCACAAGAACCCAGGGUGAGUCUUAUCGUCGCAGAGUAAACUCAAUUUGGCACUUGGCUCUUUCAUUUACUAUUUUGUUCCAGGCACCUUCCAUGUUACCAUAGACUCUUCAAAUCCUGAUUUUUAAUGGCUGUAUAACCUUCCAUCCAGCAUAUAUGCUUUUAUUUACCUGACCAUUCUUUUUUUUUUUUUUAAAGAUUUUUUAUUUAUUUAUCUGAGAGAGGGAAUGGGAGACAGAGAACAUGAGAGGGGGAGAAUCAGAGGGAGAAGCAGACUCCCCGCUGAGCAGGGAGUCCAAUGUGGGACUCGAACCUGGGACUCCAGGAUCAUGACCUGAGCUGAAGGCAGUUGCUUAACCAACUGAGCCACCCAGGCGCCCCUUACCUGACCAUUCUUAUGUCGUUGGAUCACAUCAGUGAUUUCUAGUCCUUUGUGCUAUAAAUAAGACCACAAGGAGCAUUUUUGAGUUCUAGUAUUUCUAAUAUUAGACUUAUUUUUAGGAUGGAUUCACCAAAGCCACUAAGUAACCAUUUUUAAAAUAAGAAAACAAGCUUUAAUUGCUGUUUUAAUGAAUGUUGUUCAAAGAAGAUAUUACUACUUUAAAGUCUGUGGGCCUUCUCUAUGAAGCUUGACUCAAGACUGAGUUAGUCCCCAGUCCUGUCCGCCAGGAGAGGACAGCACAGAGGACCUACCAGAGAAUACUGCCAUGCAACGCUCCCUCGAAAAUCUCUUCCCUGCCACUUCUGGGUUUUCACAAGAAGUUCUAUACUAAUUCCCCAAAUAUUUGUUGAAUAGUUAUUAUUUAUAACCCAUGUGGGGAAAUUCUAAGGAUCAAAAUGCUGCAGUGACACCAAGGAGACUGUGACCAGAACACCCAAUAUUUUCACUCUCCCCUGGAUUUGUUAAGCCCCAAAGCUUUAUUUCCCAUUCAUAUUUCUUUUGGGCUCCAAGGUGGCUGUUGGACUCCAUGACCUUCAUGUUCCUCCAAGUCAGUGCUUCCAAAUCUUUACUCUCAAAUCCGUUUCUUCUCCUACAGUCACUCUUCACUGCUGAGUCGUUAAAGCGGGAGACCUGGGGGUCACCUUCAAUACCUUUUCUCCUUCCCUGCUCUUACCCAUGCAAUUCACCACAGGGUUUUCCAAUAUUCUGAAAUAUUUCUCAAAUGCAUCCCCUUUUCUCCAUCCUUUCUGUCACUUCUUUUUAAAAAACAUUUUUUUGUGGGGUGAACAAAUCUUUUUUUUUUUUUAAGAUUUACUUAUUUGAGAGAGAGAGAGAGGGAGAACAGGGGGAGGGGCUGAGGGAGAGAGAGAAUCUCAAGCAGACUCCCAGAUGCCCAUGAAACCCAACACAGGGUUCAAUCCCACGACCCCAAGAUCAUGACCUGAACCAAAAUCAAUAGUCAGACGCUCAACCAACUGAGCCAUCCUGGUGCUCGUCUGUCGCUUCUUUAGUUGAGAUGGACAUCAUCAUUCAUCUGGACCAUUAGACUAAUAUUUUUUCUGACUACUCUGACUUUUGUCACACCCCAACUUCAAUUUGCUUUCCUCACUGAAAACUCAUAUAAAUCACCUGUAUAAAUUGCUUGCUUAAAGCUCUUCAGUGGCUCCCCAGUACCUAAAUGACAAACCCCAAAUAUGCAAGAAGACUCUCCAUGAUCUAGUCCCUGCCUGCAUCACUCUCUGUGUCCCCCUGCUUAAUUCAUUUUAAAUCUCCAAAGACUCCCCUCCCUGGCUCAUAGCUCCAUGCCCUUCAUAAACCUCAAGACCUACUAUAAGCCUGUCCUGCUCAGCGACCCUUUCCUUCUGCCCUCAGGCACAGCGGAGCACACCCUUUGGCCUUACUCUGUGGCAGCACCUGCCAAUUAUAUCCUGUCUCCGUGACCUACUGUGAGUUCUUAACAGGCUAGAACUGUAUCUUACUCAUCUCUGUAAGGCCCAGAACAAAAUAUGGGUCCAGGAGAGUUUAUUGUAUUUUUAAAAAGGAAGGUGGCGGGGGCAUGAAUGAACUAAGUAAAUUGAGAGAAAAGAAGGGUUCUAGAAAUGUGAGACUAGAGUGACAGACAGGAAGACCAGGGAAGAAGAGGCAAGGAAGGACAGCAACAGAGAAAGGGACAGGCACCCGAAGCCUCAUUUACUUUUGUUUGGGACAACAGAUGGAACAUAAAAUAUUCAGAAGCUGAGUGCAUCAUCUCUUUUGAGAAAUUUCUAAUCAGCUUAAAAGGGGACUCAUAGCUGCCCUAUCAGCUUGCAAGGCCCAGGGGAAUCUGAGCUGGUAGCUAUAAAAAUAAACUCCAGCCGACAGGGGCCUCUCCUGGAGCCUUCUUUCUAGAGAUCCAUCCAGAACAGCUGGGGCCCUUUAAAAACUACCAUCCUGGGAGCUGCUCCCGGCACCCAAACCCUCUGCUCUCCUGGGAACCCCUCCACUGUCUCAUCUAGGCUGUCCACAUUUCCUAGACAACCUGAUGACAAUUCUGGGCCAGCUGGCUUUGAAUGGGGACCAUAUUUAUACAAGCUCUGUCACAUGACACCAUCUGAUGUGGCCGGGCAGUGGGACAGCUAUUUGAAAUGCCCAGGAUGGCUUUCUAAGCCGCUCACUAAGCCACUUCACUCUCGUUCCCCUUUCAGAAGUGAAGAUUUUGGAGGUAUGUGGCAUCUAUCUUUCCAUCCCAGUCAGCUCAAGGUGGUCAAAUGUCCCCCCUCCUUCUCUCAGCCAAGUCUCCCAGUCCGGGACUCCACCUCCCACUACCUGAGCACCCCCUCUCUCUCCUGAGCCCUCACAACCGUUUGCAUCUGGGCUCCCCCCUGCGCCCUUCUCAGCUGCUUUGUCACCUUCCUGCGCCUUCCUAAUUAGGGGCUCACCAAAGGCAGAACCGCAGAAGAGAGGUGGGGUGCAGCUCUAGGACCAGGCCUUUACGGGAUGGGCCCACAAGUGAGGCACAGGCUGCAUUUCUCUGUUGCUCAGUGACCCGCCCUUGCAUUUUCUGUUGCUUAAACGUGCUCGUUGACCUGAUUUUCCCCACCGCCUGUGCUUUGGGCCUCCCUCCCCUUUUCUGCACGUGUCCCAUACCCAGAGGGUGACGCUCAACCUUUGACAGUGGGGCUACGCUGUGGCAUGUCAGCUGUGAGGAGUGCAUGUGGGUGAGGCCACCAACACACCCAGUUUGCACAGCAGGAAAAGGCCAUGUUCUCUGGAACUCAGGGAGCUAGGAUUCAGUUAAUUUGCAAUACUGCAGAUGAGAAGCCUGUGGCAUUCGAGCAGGAAGUCACUACAUAAAUCUCUGUUGUUGUUGCUCAUCUUUCUUCUGCCCUCCUCACUGAACAGCCUGUCUCCAGACUCAAGCCGCUUGCUUGCUCCUGGCUUGUGAUCUCUCUGCUCAGCCUGUUAUUGUCUCCACGGCGGACGUGUCCGUCGAUUUGCUGUGCUCUCUGCUACUCUCCCCUCCCAGAGACACUGGUUGGGACCUCAGGCUCUGCUGACACGGCUGUGGGACGCGUGACCCUAGAGGCUGCUGCUGACCUGACGUGGGCAUGCCCUUGAACUCAGCGGAGACCUCUCAUUGGUAGCCUGUCAUUGGUUGGCUGGGGAGCAAUCACAUUCUCUCUCUUUAAAAUGGGAGCUGGCCCAGAAUAAAACUAGCGGUAAGGAGAAGGGUAAUAACGCCAGGAGACCAUGUAGACAUGGGACCGGCAACCACCAUUCCUGGCCAGGAGUCUUGUGACAGCUACACAGAGAAAGCCGCUCUGCAGAAUGAAGUCUGAAGAUGGAACACUUUCAUCAAGGGAAGUAGAAAUGAAAAACCGUGAGGCCCCAGAGAAAGAGGAGAUGGAGAGAGCACGAUCUUGCCACUCACUCUGCCCCCCCUUUCCACGUGAGCUAAUUUGCGUAGGCUUCUGUUCCAUGAACCCAAUGAUGGGUGACUCAGCAGGCCCAAAGAACCUAGACUUUUCUGAAAUCAGAUUAAUAAUAGCAUUUAAUCAAUAUUUACUGUGUGCCCUGUCUAAGCAUAUGGUAGAUAUCAAUACAUUGCAUGUUUAAAUUUUAUUCAUGAAGAAAUUGAGGCACAGAAUGAUAAGGUCACUUGUUCGGUGUCGCGCAGCAAGAGAUAAAAAGAAUAGGAAGCUCCACCCAGGCCUCUCUGAUUCCAAAGCUAGGAUCUUCCCACAAUAUUUAUUGCAUGCCCUUCUGCUACUUAAAGACACAGCUGUCACUGAGACCCUGAACAGGGAGAAGGACUGGCAGAAAGGAGGCUGCAAGAUGAACCCACGCUAAUUCUGCAAGGCGGGAGGACUAGCUGAGGUCAGUGUUUCCCAAAGUGGAGCCUGUAACACUCAUGGGGCACGGAAUGAUUUUCAUGCAGGGAAACUGAAUCACAGCAUAAAAACAUCAUCCCCGUUUGAGUUAUUCUUUAAUUCUCCUAAGUAAGGCAAAGAGAAAGUCUCAGAUUGGUUGUUGGUAUGUUUUACUUCUGUUACUUGGCCAUUUUCCUUGACAACUUCUUGAAAGUUUCUAAUUAGCAAGAAUCAAUCUUAGAAGUUCUCACCAUACACACAAAAAUUCUAACUCUGUGAGGUGACAGAUGUUUUAAGUAACCUCAUUACAGUAAUCAUUUUGCAAUAUAUACAGAUAGAAAAUCACUAUGAUGCAUAUCUUAACCUAUCCAAUGUUACAUGUCAAUUAUGUCUCAAUAAAACCGGGAAAAUACAUAAAUAAAUAAUAAAACUUUUACAUUUGUUUCCAUUCUACCGGUUUUUUACCAUUACCUUCUAUUCAUAGCAAGUGACAUUGGUUUUUCAUUAUUUAAAUAAUAUUACAUUUCCUUUUGAAGUAAGUUUAUUUAAGUAAAAAAAUCGAGUUGUACCAAUGAUGGUUUCUCUGUGCCAUGUACUUUGCAUGUCAUUUCUGAUUUUCCCAGCAAUUCUAAGAAAAGAAUCAUUAUCUCUAUUUUAUGGCUGAGGCAACGAGGGACCACAGAGUAAGUGCCCAGUAAGAGACUGAAGCAGGAUCUGGAACAAUUUGCCCGAUUCUGAAGUGCCUGUUCUCCGCACUGCCGCAUGCUGCCUCCUCACCACUGGAAUCCAACACCUGAACCCACACUCGGGAAACAGCUCCAAGUUGGCCACUUGGCGGCGUUCGCUCGGACUUUCGCCUCGCAGCCUCUCUGCUGCACUGGACACGCUCUCCUUUCGGGGCUCCUCUCCCGGUUUGUCUUUACCCACCUUCUCCUCUCCCCUUCCUGAACAUGCUCCUCCUCUCCCUGUGUCUUAGCUCCAUCUUUCAUUCUUGCUCCAGACCACGGGUCCCAAUCAGAUUCGCGUUACAGCACUAGAUCUA